AUUGAACGCUGGCGGCAUGCCUAACACAUGCAAGUCGAACGGGGCAGCAAUGCCUAGUGGCGGACGGGUGAGGAACACGUAGGAAUCUGCCCUUAAGUGGGGGAUAACCAGGGGAAACCCUGACUAAUACCGCAUGAUCUCUUCGGAGCAAAGAGGGGGACCGCAAGGCCUCUCGCUUCUGGAUGAGCCUACGUCUGAUUAGCUAGUUGGUAGGGUAAAGGCCUACCAAGGCGACGAUCAGUAACUGGUCUGAGAGGAUGAUCAGUCACACCGGAACUGAGACACGGUCCGGACUCCUACGGGAGGCAGCAGUGGGGAAUAUUGGACAAUGGGCGCAAGCCUGAUCCAGCAAUGCCGCGUGUGUGAAGAAGGCCUUCGGGUUGUAAAGCACUUUAGCCUGGAAAGAAAAAACUUUGGUUAACACCCAAAGUCUUGACGGUACCAGGAGAAUAAGCACCGGCUAACUCUGUGCCAGCCGCCGCAGUAAGAC
rnacentral:rRNA from 1 species